UCAUGUGGAACAGAGUCUGAAGACAGGCAGUCCUCAACAAGUCCUGAGGUUUAAGAAACAGAUGAUGGAACGUAUGAAAGAAGUUACUGCAGGGAUCAAUGUUGAGGAGUUACAUCCAAAGGAAAAAGGUGACUUUGUAUUAAGUAAAGAUAUCAAAUCACUUGAUCACAUUGGAGAUAUUGUGACCUACUCAUCUACUGCACUACAGUUACCACAUCAGCAGGCCCAUCAACAACCUGAAAAAAACUAUGACGGAGCCUAUUCUUAUGGAAAAGGUUCAAUUAACAGAGGCAAUUCAAUUGAUGCUAGCAGAGCC